rnacentral:rRNA from 1 species
UACGAAGGGGGCUAGCGUUGUUCGGAAUCACUGGGCGUAAAGGGCGCGUAGGCGGCUUUGUAAGUCGGGGGUGAAAGCCUGUGGGCUCAACCACAGAAUUGCCUUCGAUACUGCAUGGCUUGAGACCGGAAGAGGUAAGUGGAACUGCGAGUGUAGAGGUGAAAUUCGUAGAUAUUCGGAGGAACACCAGAAGCGAAGGCGGCUCACUGGCCCGAUACUGACGCUGAGGCGCGAAAGCGUGGGGAGCAAACAGG